rnacentral:rRNA from 1 species
AUACGAAGGUCCCAAGCGUUAUUCGGAAUCACUGGGCGUAAAGAGUACGUAGGCGGUUUGGUAAGUCAGGUGCGAAAUCCCGGAGCUCAACUCCGGAACUGCAUCCGAUACUGCCAGACUUGAGUAAUGGAGAGGCAGGUGGAAUUCUCGGUGUAGCAGUGAAAUGCGUGGAUAUCGAGAGGAAGACCAAUGGCGAAGGCAGCCUGCUGGACAUUUACUGACGCUGAGGUACGAAGGCUAGGGGAGCGAAAGGGAGUAGAAACCCCAGUAGUCC